UACGUAGGGUGCGAGCGUUGUCCGGAAUUAUUGGGCGUAAAGGGCUCGUAGGCGGUCUGUCGCGUCGGGAGUGAAAACACGGGGCUUAACCCCGUGCCUGCUUCCGAUACGGGCAGACUAGAGGUAUGCAGGGGAGAACGGAAUUCCUGGUGUAGCGGUGAAAUGCGCAGAUAUCAGGAGGAACACCGGUGGCGAAGGCGGUUCACUGGUCCGGUACUGACGCUGAGGUGCGAAAGCGUGGGGAGCAAACAGG
rnacentral:rRNA from 1 species